rnacentral:rRNA from 1 species
AACGAACGCUGGCGGCAUGCCUAACACAUGCAAGUCGAACGCUCCGCAAGGGGAGUGGCGAACGGGUGAGUAACGCGUGGGAACCUACCCAGCAGUCGGUGAUAACCGCGGGGAACUGCGGCGAAUACCGAAUUCGUCCUUAGGGAGAAAGAUUUAUCGCUGUUGGAGGGGCCAGCGUCGGAUUAGCUAGUUGGUGUGGGAACGGCUCAACAAGGGGACGAUCCGUGGCUGGUCUGAGAGGAUGAUCAGCCACACUGGGACUUAGACACGGCCCAGACUCCGACGGGAGGGAGCAGUGGGGAAUAUUGGACAAUGGGGGCAACCCUGAUCCAGCGAUGCCGCGUGAGUGAUGAAGGCCUUAGGGUUGUAAAGCUCUUUUACCGGGGACGAUGAUGACGGUACCCGGAGAAUAAGCCCCGGCUAACUUCGUGCCAGCCGCCGCAGUAA